rnacentral:rRNA from 1 species
GAUUAACGCUGGUGGCGUGCCUAACACAUGCAAGUCGAGCGAUGAGACGUAAAUGAUGUCUUCGGGAUGAUAUCAAGUGAAGGAUUGGCGAACGGUUGAGUAACGCGUGAGUAAACUGCCUUGGCGUAGGGAAUAGCCUUCUGAUACGAGGAAUAAUACCCUAUGAUAUGAUAAUAUAGCAUGAUAUGGUCAUCAAAGAUUUAUCGCUCUAAGAUGGACUUGCGUCUGAUUAUUUAGUUGGUGAGGUAACAGCUCACCAAGGCAGCGAUCAGUCGCCGGCUCGAGAGCGUGUACGGCCACAUUGGGACUGGGACAAGGCCCAGACUCCUCGGGGAGGCAGAAGUGGGGAAGUUUGAACGAUGGGGGAAACCCUGAUGCCGCGAGGCCGCGUGAUUGAGAAGUCCUUCGGGUUGUAAAAAUCUUUUGUAUGGGAAGAUAAUGACAGUACCAUACGAAUAAGGACCGGCUAAUUACGUG